AUUGAACGCUGGCGGUAGGCCUAACACAUGCAAGUCGAACGGCAGCACAGUAAGAGCUUGCUCUUACGGGUGGCGAGUGGCGGACGGGUGAGGAAUACAUCGGAAUCUACUUUUUCGUGGGGGCUAACGUAGGGAAACUUACGCUAAUACCGCAUACGACCUACGUGUGAAAGCAGGGGAUCUUCGGACCUUGCGCGAUUCAAUGAGCCGAUGUCGGAUUAGCUAGUUGGCGGGGUAAAGGCCCACCAAGGCGACGAUCCGUAGCUGGUCUGAGAGGAUGAUCAGCCACACUGGAACUGAGACACGGUCCAGACUCCUACGGGAGGCAGCAGUGGGGAAUAUUGGACAAUGGGCGCAAGCCUGAUCCAGCCAUACCGCGUGGGUGAAGAAGGCCUUCGGGUUGUAAAGCCCUUUUGGUGGGAAAGAAAAGCAGCAGGUUAAUACCCCGCUGUUCUGACGGUACCAAAAGAAUAAGCACCGGCUAACUUCGUG
rnacentral:rRNA from 1 species